rnacentral:rRNA from 1 species
AUUGAACGCUGGCGGCAGGCCUAACACAUGCAAGUCGAACGAGUGGCGGACGGGUGAGUACUGUCUGGGAACCUGCCUUAUGGAGGGGGAUAACUACUGGAACCGGUAGCUAAUACCGCAUACCAUCAGAUGUGCCCAGAUGGGCUUAGCUAGUUUGUGGGGUAACGGCUCUCCAAGGCGACGAUCCCUAGCUGGUCUGAGAGGAUGACCAGCCGCACUGGAACGGAGACACGGUCCAGACGCCUACGGGAUGGAGCAGUGUGGAAUAUUGCACAAUGGGCGCAAGCCUGAUGCAGCCAUGCCGAGUGUAUGAAGAAGGCCUUCGGGUUGUAAAGUACGUUCAGCGGGGAGGCGUUACCCGCAGAAGAAGCACCGGCUAACUCCGUGCCAGCAGCCGCGGUAAUAC